UGAGUAACACGUAUCCAACCUGCCGUCUACUCUUGGACAGCCUUCUGAAAGGAAGAUUAAUACAAGAUGGCAUCAUGAGUUCACAUGUUCACAUGAUUAAAGGUAUUCCGGUAGACGAUGGGGAUGCGUUCCAUUAGAUAGCAGGCGGGGUAACGGCCCACCUAGUCUUCGAUGGAUAGGGGUUCUGAGAGGAAGGUCCCCCACAUUGGAACUGAGACACGGUCCAA
rnacentral:rRNA from 1 species